CGGGACGCGGGGGUUGCAGUUCCGGUUGGGAGGGGCGGGGCCCAGCGCUGUGAAGCCGAGAGGGAGGCUGUAGUCCAUAGGGCAGGAACUCAGGAAAGAAAGAUGGAUGUGAACUGGGGGAAGCAAGAACAAACUGAAAACUGGGGUUGAGCUGGACAUCAACAGGGUGGACAGGAACUCAGGAGCUGGAGAAGCUGAUGGAGGAGAAUUGGUGGGAGCUAGAGUUGCUGUAAGUCUGGCAGUUGCCCCACACUAGCUGGGUGAGACAGCAGAUAACAGACAACUAUAACACUUGCUGGUGUUCUGCACUGACAGUACAAGUUUUAAAAGAUGGCUGCUCUUCGUUUCUGCCUUCUAACUCUCAUGUAAAAAAAUCCCUCAUGGUCCUGGAGCUAUGUGUUGGGCAACAGUUCUUCAUGGUUCUCUCAUUUUCCUGUACACCUUGAGAGCAAAGACAAUGUCAGACUUUAUUCUGAAACAUCUUUUAAAAAAAUAUUUCUCUUGAAAGAAAGAGGGUUUUCCAUUGGGACAGAGUGCAGAUUUGUUUACUUUCUGGUAUAAUAAGACAAUAAUAUGAUAAUAUCACCUUCCAAGGCAAAGGUUGGACGGAUUUGCUUGCAGUCCAUAAUAAAAGAUUGGGAGUUUU